rnacentral:rRNA from 2 species
GCAUAUCAAUAAGCGGAGGAAAAGAAACCAACAGGGAUUGCCCUAGUAACGGCGAGUGAAGCGGCAACAGCUCAAAUUUGAAAUCUGGCUCUCUUUGGGGGUCCGAGUUGUAAUUUGCAGAGGAUGCUUUGGCAUUGGCGGCGGUCUAAGUUCCUUGGAACAGGACAUCGCAGAGGGUGAGAAUCCCGUACGUGGGCGCCUGCCUUUGCCGUGUAAAGCUCCUUCGACGAGUCGAGUUGUUUGGGAAUGCAGCUCUAAAUGGGAGGUAAAUUUCUUCUAAAGCUAAAUACCGGCCAGAGACCGAUAGCGCACAAGUAGAGUGAUCGAAAGAUGAAAAGUACUUUGGAAAGAGAGUCAAAAAGCACGUGAAAUUGUUGAAAGGGAAGCGCUUGCAGCCAGACUUGCCCGCAGUUGCUCACCUAGGCUUUGGCCUGGGGCACUCUUCUGCGGGCAGGCCAGCAUCAGUUUGGGCGGUUGGAUAAAGGCCUCUGUCACGUAUCUCCCUUCGGGGUGACCUUAUAGGGGAGGCGUAAUGCAACCAGCCCGGACUGAGGUCCGCGCAUCUGCUAGGAUGCUGGCGUAAUGGCUGUAAGCGGCCCGUCUUGAAACACGGACCAAGGAGUCUAACAUCUAUGCGAGUGUUUGGGUGUCAAGCCCGGGCGCGCAAUGAAAGUGAACGGAGGUGGGAACCCUUUGGGUGCACCAUCGACCGAUCCUGAUGUCUUCGGAUGGAUUUGAGUAAGAGCAUAGCUGUUGGGACCCGAAAGAUGGUGAACUAUGCUUGAAUAGGGUGAAGCCAGAGGAAACUCUGGUGGAGGCUCGCAGCGGUUCUGACGUGCAAAUCGAUCGUCAAAUUUGGGCAUAGGGGCGAAAGACUAAUCGAACCAUCUAGUAGCUGGUUCCUGCCGA